rnacentral:rRNA from 1 species
CCUACGGGAGGCUGCAGUGGGGAAUAUUGGACAAUGGGCGAAAGCCUGAUCCAGCCAUGCCGCGUGUGUGAAGAAGGCCUUCGGGUUGUAAAGCACUUUCAGUGGGGAAGAAAGCCUUGGGGCUAAUACCCUCGAGGAAGGACAUCACCCACAGAAGAAGCACCGGCUAACUCAGUGCCAGCAGCCGCGGUAAUACGGAGGGUGCGAGCGUUAAUCGGAAUUACUGGGCGUAAAGCGCGCGUAGGCGGUCUGAUAAGCCGGUUGUGAAAGCCCCGGGCUCAACCUGGGAACGGCAUCCGGAACUGUCAGGCUAGAGUGCAGGAGAGGAAGGUAGAAUUCCCGGUGUAGCGGUGAAAUGCGUAGAGAUCGGGAGGAAUACCAGUGGCGAAGGCGGCCUUCUGGACUGACACUGACGCUGAGGUGCGAAAGCGUGGGUAGCAAACAGGAUUAGAUACCCGAGUAGUC